CACGUAGGGGGCGAGCGUUGUCCGGAUUUAUUGGGCGUAAAGAGCUCGUAGGCGGCUCGGUAAGUGAGGUGUGAAAACUCCAGGCUCAACCUGGAGACGCCACCUCAUACUGCCGUGGCUAGAGUCCGGUAGGGGAGCAUGGAAUUCCUGGUGUAGCGGUGAAAUGCGCAGAUAUCAGGAGGAACACCAGUGGCGAAGGCGGUUGCCUGGAGCUUUGCUGACGCUGAUGCGCGAAAGCGUGGGGAGCGAUCCGG
rnacentral:rRNA from 1 species